rfam:Salmo salar isolate Sally breed double haploid chromosome ssa13, whole genome shotgun sequence.
GUCCCUGUGGCUCAGUUGGUAGAGCAUGGUGUUUGCAAUGCCAGGGUUGUGGGUUCGAUUCCCACGGGGGGCC